AUUGAACGCUGGCGGCAGGCCUAACACAUGCAAGUCGAACGAGUGGCGGACGGGUGAGUAAUGUCUGGGAAACUGCCCGAUGGAGGGGGUUAACUACUGGAAACGGUAGCUAAUCCCGCAUACCAUCGGAGGUGCCCAGAUGGGCUUAGCUAGUAGGUGGGGUAACGGCUCACCUAGGCGACGAUCCCUAGCUGGUCUGCGAGGAUGACCGGGCACACGGGAACUGAGACACGGUCCAAACUCCUACGGGAGGCAGCAGUGGGGAAUAGUGCGCAAUGGGCGCGAGCCUGAUGCAGCCAUGCCGCGUGUAUGAAGAGGGCCUUCGGGUUGUAAAGUACUUUAAGCGAGGAGGCGUUACGCGCAGAAGAAGCACCGGCUAACUACGUGCCAGCAGCCGCGGUAAUUC
rnacentral:rRNA from 1 species